rnacentral:misc_RNA from 1 species
GAUGAAGAACGUAGCGAAAUGCGAUAAGUAAUGUGAAUUGCAGAAUUCAGUGAAUCAUCGAAUCUUUGAACGCACAUUGCGCCCGCCAGUAUUCUGGCGGGCAUGCCUGUUCGAGCGUCAUUACAACCCUCAGGCCCCCGGGCCUGGCCUUCUGCGCCGCGCCGCCCCCGAAAUGAAUUGGCGGCCUCGUCGCGUGCCACCCCUGCGUAGUAGCACAACCUCGCAACGGGAGCCCGACGCGGCCACUGCCGUAAAACGCCCAACUUUUAAGAGUUGACCUCGAAUCAGGUAGGAAUACCCGCUGAACUUAAGCAUAUCAAUAAGCGGAGGA